UACAGAGGGUGCGAGCGUUAAUCGGAAUUACUGGGCGUAAAGCGUGCGCAGGCGGUUCGUUGUGUCGGCGGUGAAAGCCCCGGGCUCAACCUGGGAAUGGCCGUUGAAACUGGCGAACUGGAGUGUGGCAGAGGGGGGUGGAAUUCCGCGUGUAGCAGUGAAAUGCGUAGAGAUGCGGAGGAACACCGAUGGCGAAGGCAGCCCCCUGGGUUAACACUGACGCUCAGGCACGAAAGCGUGGGGAGCAAACAGG
rnacentral:rRNA from 1 species